GACGAACGCUGGCGGCGUGCUUAACACAUGCAAGUCGAACGGAAAGGCCCUGCUUUUGUGGGGUGCUCGAGUGGCGAACGGGUGAGUAACACGUGAGUAACCUGCCCUUGACUUUGGGAUAACUUCAGGAAACUGGGGCUAAUACCGGAUAUGAGCUCCUGCUGCAUGGGGGGGGUUGGAAAGUUUCGGCGGUUGGGGAUGGACUCGCGGCUUAUCAGCUUGUUGGUGGGGUAGUGGCUUACCAAGGCUUUGACGGGUAGCCGGCCUGAGAGGGUGACCGGCCACAUUGGGACUGAGAUACGGCCCAGACUCCUACGGGAGGCAGCAUUGGGGAAUAUUGCACAAUGGGCGGAAGCCUGAUGCAGCAACGCCGCGUGCGGGAUGACGGCCGUCGGGUUGUAAACCGCUUUCGCCUGUGACGAAGCGUGAGUGACGGUAAUGGGUAAAGAAGCACCGGCUAACUACGUG
rnacentral:rRNA from 1 species